UNUUUACUAUUUAUUCAGGGCUACUCUAU
rnacentral:piRNA from 1 species